rnacentral:lncRNA from 1 species
UUACACCCAAACACAACACUCUCUCACGACCAAACCCUAGAAAUCAACCUUGCGAUCAAUCGAUCGACCAAAACACCAACACUUACACCCAAACACAACACUCUCUCACGACCAAACCCUAGAAAUCAACCUUGCGCUCAAUCGAUCGACCAAAACACCAUCCUUUCGCCGCCAUUCAAGUAUAUUAACUAUGCCAGUAAUGUUGUUUAAAAAUUAUAGCCCGUUGCUGUCGGCACCAUUUUGCUAGUGGUAUUGAAACCCUAGAACUAAACUCUUACCUUCUCAGUUGAUGGAAGAAUGCCACCAUUCUGCCCCCAUUUAAACCAUUUACUCUCGAUUACACACUCGUUUUGCAUUGUUUCGUAGUCUCUUUGUCCUUUCAGCGUCACCAUCACUCUCGUUUCACUUCGUGAAGG